rnacentral:rRNA from 2 species
ACAUGCAAGUCGAGCGGAUCGAUGGGAGCUUGCUCCCUGAGAUCAGCGGCGGACGGGUGAGUAACACGUGGGUAACCUGCCUGUAAGACUGGGAUAACUCCGGGAAACCGGGGCUAAUACCGGAUAACACCUACCCCCGCAUGGGGGAAGGUUGAAAGGUGGCUUCGGCUAUCACUUACAGAUGGACCCGCGGCGCAUUAGCUAGUUGGUGAGGUAAUGGCUCACCAAGGCGACGAUGCGUAGCCGACCUGAGAGGGUGAUCGGCCACACUGGGACUGAGACACGGCCCAGACUCCUACGGGAGGCAGCAGUAGGGAAUCUUCCGCAAUGGACGAAAGUCUGACGGAGCAACGCCGCGUGAGUGAAGAAGGUUUUCGGAUCGUAAAACUCUGUUGUUAGGGAAGAACAAGUGCCGUUCGAAUAGGGCGGCGCCUUGACGGUACCUAACCAGAAAGCCACGGCUAACUACGUGCCAGCAGCCGCGGUAAUACGUAGGUGGCAAGCGUUGUCCGGAAUUAUUGGGCGUAAAGCGCGCGCAGGUGGUUUCUUAAGUCUGAUGUGAAAGCCCACGGCUCAACCGUGGAGGGUCAUUGGAAACUGGGGAACUUGAGUGCAGAAGAGGAAAGUGGAAUUCCAAGUGUAGCGGUGAAAUGCGUAGAUAUUUGGAGGAACACCAGUGGCGAAGGCGACUUUCUGGUCUGUAACUGACACUGAGGCGCGAAAGCGUGGGGAGCAAACAGGAUUAGAUACCCU